UACGUAGGGUGCAAGCGUUAAUCGGAAUUACUGGGCGUAAAGCGUGCGCAGGCGGUUUUGUAAGUUUGUCGUGAAAGCCCCGGGCUCAACCUGGGAAUUGCGAUGAAGACUGCAAGGCUUGAAUCUGGCAGAGGGGGGUAGAAUUCCACGUGUAGCAGUUGAAAUGCGUAGAGAUGUGGAGGAACACCGAUGGCGAAGGCAGCCCCCUGGGUCAAGAUUGACGCUCAUGCACGAAAGCGUGGGGAGCAAACAGG
rnacentral:rRNA from 1 species